rnacentral:rRNA from 1 species
GACGAACGCUGGCGGCGUGCUUAACACAUGCAAGUCGAACGGAAAGACCCUGCUUUUGUGGGGUGCUCGAGUGGCGAACGGGUGAGUAACACGUGAGUAACCUGCCCUUGACUUUGGGAUAACUUCAGGAAACUGGGGCUAAUACCGGGUAGGAGCUCCUGCUGCAUGGUGGGGGUUGGAAAGUUUCGGCGGUUGGGGAUGGACUCGCGGCUUAUCAGCUUGUUGGUGGGGUAGUGGCUUUCCAAGGCUUUGACGGGUAGCCGGCCUGAGAGGGUGACCGGCCACAUUGGGACUGAGAUACGGCCCAGACUCCUACGGGAGGCAGCAGUGGGGAAUAUUGCACAAUGGGCGGAAGCCGGAUGCAGCAACGCCGCGUGCGGGAUGACGGCCGUCGGGUUGUAAACCGCGUUCGCCUGUGACGAAGCGUGAGUGACGGUAAUGGGUAAAGAAGCACCGGCUAACUACGUG